rnacentral:rRNA from 1 species
CCAUUGACUUGGACAAUUUUAUGACAAUUUGACC